UACGUAGGGGGCGAGCGUUUGUCCGGAUUUAUUGGGCGUAAAGGGUGCGUAGGUGGCGGGGUAAGUCAGGUGUGAAAUCUCGGGGCUCAACCCCGAAACUGCACUUGAUACUGCCUUGCUCGAGUACUGGAGAGGAGAUUGGAAUUUACGGUGUAGCAGUGAAAUGCGUAGAUAUCGUAAGGAAGACCAGUGGCGAAGGCGAAUCUCUGGACAGUUACUGACACUGAGGCACGAAGGCCAGGGGAGCAAACGGG
rnacentral:rRNA from 1 species